rnacentral:misc_RNA from 1 species
AAUGAUUUGAAUGUUGUGAGUAGUAGAAGCAAACACAGCAAGGAUUGCUACAUAUUCCCGCAAUUAUUUUCUCAGCUUUUCCCCACAAGCUUCCCUCAUUGCCUUAUUGCCUUUGCCCAUUGGUUUUGCCUUUUUAGUGAAGUAAACCUAGUAUAUGCAUAAAACUCUUAUCUGUUUUGGAUUUGGCAUCAAGCAUUGUCUAAUAUGCAUCUGACUAUCUCUCUUGCCCCACUUUGUUCUAGCAAAUGCUGUUUUCCCUUGCUCUUCUCUCUACCUUCUUGGUGUUCUCCAU